UACGUAGGGUGCAAGCGUUAAUCGGAAUUCCUGGGCGUAAAGCGUGCGCAGGCGGUUUUGUAAGUCUGUCGGGAAAUCCCCGGGCUCAACCUGGGAAUUGCGAUGGAGACUGCAAGGCUAGAAUCUGGCAGAGGGGGGUAGAAUUCCACGUGUAGCAGUGAAAUGCGUAGAGAUGUGGAGGAACACCGAUGGCGAAGGCAGCCCCCUGGGUCAAGAUUGACGCUCAUGCACGAAAGCGUGGGGAGCAAACAGG
rnacentral:rRNA from 1 species